rnacentral:rRNA from 1 species
GAUGAACGCUGGCGGCGUGCCUAAUACAUGCAAGUCGAGCGAACGGACGAGAAGCUUGCUUCUCUGAUGUUAGCGGCGGACGGGUGAGUAACACGUGGAUAACCUACCUAUAAGACUGGGAUAACUUCGGGAAACCGGAGCUAAUACCGGAUAAUAUUUUGAACCGCAUGGUUCAAAAGUGAAAGACGGUCUUGCUGUCACUUAUAGAUGGAUCCGCGCUGCAUUAGCUAGUUGGUAAGGUAACGGCUUACCAAGGCAACGAUGCAUAGCCGACCUGAGAGGGGGAUCGGCCACACUGGAACUGAGACACGGUCCAGACUCCUACGGGAGGCAGCAGUAGGGAAUGUGCCGCAAUGGGCGAAAGCCUGACGGAGCAACGCCGCGUGAGUGAUGAAGGUCUUCGGAUCGUAAAACUCUGUUAUUAGGGAAGAACAUAUGUGUAAGUAACUGUGCACAUCUUGACGGUACCUAAUCAGAAAGCCACGGCUAACUACGUG